rnacentral:lncRNA from 1 species
GUGAGAGCUAAAUGGAGAGAAAACAAUCCAAAUUUCCUUCCCUUGAGAAAAAAUAGAUUUUCUAGAUUAAUAUAAUAUAAAAAAUAAAGUUUUUAUAUUUGCUACUAUUUUAAGUAACAAAUUUAGGAUUAUGUGCAUUUGUGCUAUAUUUUAGUUAAUGAGGCAUCCAAAAUUAAGGUAUACACAUAUUCAUGUUCAACCAUACGGCA